rnacentral:rRNA from 1 species
GACGAACGCUGGCGGCGUGCUUAACACAUGCAAGUCGAACGGAAAGGCCCUGCGUUGGUGGGGUGCUCGAGUGGCGAACGGGUGAGGAGCACGAGAGUAACCUGCCCUUGACUUUGGGAUAACUUCAUGAAACUGGGGCUAAUACCUGAUAGGAUCUCCUGCUGCAUGGGGGGGGUUGGAUAGUUUCGGCGGUUGGGGAUGGACUCGCGGCUUAUCAGCUUGUUGGUGGGGUAGUGGCUUACCAAGGCCUUGACGGGUAGCCGGCCUGAGAGGGUGACCGGCCACAUUGGGACUGAGAUACGGCCCAGACUCCUACGGGAGGCAGCAGUGGGGAAUAUUGCACAAUGGGCGGAAGCCUGAUGCAGCGACGCCGCGUGCGGGAUGACGGCCUUCGGGUUGUAAACCGCUUUCGCCUGUGACGAAGCGUGAGUGACGGUAAUGGGUAAAGAAGCACCGGCUAACUACGUG